CAGGCUGACCUGAAAGCUGACAUAUAGGGUGAUCUGGCAAAGGGAAAGCUGGCACAGUCCUGAUACUGCCUUCAAGGCCUGUGCGGUUGGACUGUCAGCCCCUGGGGUUAUACUGGACACUGGGGAGCGGUGCUUCCCAGACUUGUCUGACCGUAACACCACCCACCAGAGAUGUGUUUGCAGGUAGAACUACCACACUCCACCUCAGUGUCUUUCUUGUCCAUGCUGCCUGUGUCUCUGUCCUGAAUGCUUUUCAAAUUUUGUCCCAGGAAGCCAAAAGAAAACAAGGAUUUAUUUUUGUAUGCUCCAGAGUUCACAAAUUGUAUGCCCACCUGGACAGGUAGAUAGCACAAAACAAUGAAGUCAUUUGUGAAGGACUGGUGACCUGAAGGGCAUAGUGGAGCCAUGAGGGGGCAACUGAGGCCAGCUCCAGCUGCUGGGCCAAGCAGAAGGUGGGCCCAGGGCCGCAAGAGAUUCUGAAAAGAAGUGGAAAAAUAGUGUUUUUAAAUAUGUAAUCUCUCAUCUUUAAACAUUGAGCAUUUAAAGUUCAGAUUAAAUAAAAAAUUGCAGGCGGUAAAACAAAACACUUCAGCAGCUUUGGGUUGGCCCAUAGGCUGUCUAUCUUUUAAUAACCCUGGACUUCAGUGCAGAUUCAACCCUGCCUGUCCACAAUCUUAUUGAAACUUCAUUUCAACACCCCCUGUGCAGACCCCAACACCCUUCUCUGCUUGUAGCUGGUGCCACAAAGAUCCCUCCAUUACUAGGGCUGUCUGCCCCAUGAGCUUAUGAGCCCCUCCCUACCUUACUUAGCUUCCUGACAUGGUUCUCCUUGAAUGCCAGGAAACCUACUGCUCACCGAGGAGCAGCAGCUGGCCAAAGACUCUUUACCAAACUGAUCUGGGAACCUAGCCUGGAAGGAGAUGCCCCAUGACAAGAGGGAGCUGGUCCGAGGCCCCUCAGUGUCUCUCACCGCUAACGGCCACUCAGCAUUGCCAGGGUGACUGCCAGGGUGCUCUUUUCUCCCUAGAUUAGGACUGACACAUGGAGGGUGGUCCAAGUGAAGACUUGGAGAAGAUGCCCAUCUACAAGAUAAGGAGAGAGGCCCUCAGAAGGAACCAAUUCUGCCAACAUCUUGAUCUCAGACUUCUAUCCUUCAAAACUGUAUGACAAUAAAAUUCUGUUGUUUAAGCCACCCAAUCUGCGGUAUUUGUAAGAGGAGUCCUAGCGAAUACAAAAGAGCCCUUGAAAAACAACAAAAUGGGAUCCUGAGGUGAUAGCAGAAAGGGGAAGCCAUAGGGAAAGGCCUCUAGAAGGGCACGUCAUGGUCAGGAUCGGAGUUGGCUUCACGAACAAGUUGAAGGUGUGGCAGUGACCAUCAGAGGUAAAGGUGAGGGUAAAUAUCAGAGUCAGUCAGUGUUAAGGUCAAUUUUAAGGGUCAGAUAAUUUAAUAAUUGGGGUGGGUCAAAGUAUGAAUGGUGGUCUGUGACCAAAGGAUGGUAAAGAUCAGGACAACACAGGGUUCAAGUCAAAAUGGGUCCCCUUCGGUAGAGCAGCAGGAUCAGUGUACAGGUAAGAUUAUUUCAAGGCCAGGCUGAGAAAGGUCAGGAUGACUGUCAGUAUCAAGAUGCGAAUCUGGAGCAGGGUCAGGUUCAAAAUGAAAUCAACACAGGAACAUAAUGUUCAGAAUCAGAAUCAGUCAAAUUAAUG